rnacentral:rRNA from 1 species
UACGAAGGGUGCAAGCGUUAAUCGGAAUUACUGGGCAUAAAGCGCGCGUAGGUGGUUCAGCAAGUUGGAUGUGAAAGCCCUGGGCUCAACCUGGGAACUGCAUCCAAAACUACUGAGCUAGAGUACGGUAGAGGGUAGUGGAAUUUCCUGUGUAGCGGUGAAAUGCGUAGAUAUAGGAAGGAACACCAGUGGCGAAGGCGACUACCUGGACUGAUACUGACACUGAGGUGCGAAAGCGUGGGGAGCAAACAGG